AGUGAACGCUGGCGGUAGGCCUAACACAUGCCAGUCGAACGGCAGCACAGUAAGAGCUUGCUCUUACGGGUGGCGAGUGGCGGACGGGUGAGGAAUACAUCGGAAUCUACUUUUUCGUGGGGGAUAACGUAGGGAAACUUACGCUAAUACCGCAUACGACCUACGGGUGAAAGCAGGGGAUCUUCGGACCUUGCGCGAAUGAAUGAGCCGAUGUCGGAUUAGCUAGUUGGCGGGGUAAAGGCCCACCAAGGCGACGAUCCGUAGCUGGUCUGAGAGGAUGAACAGCCACACUGGAACUGAGACACGGUCCAGACUCCUACGGGAGGCAGCAGUGGGGAAUAUUGGACAAUGGGCGCAAGCCUGAUCCAGCCAUACCGCGUGGGUGAAGAAGGCCUUCGGGUUGUAAAGCCCUUUUGUUGGGAAAGAAAAGCAGCAGGUUAAUACCCCGCUGUUCUGACGGUACCCAAAGAAUAAGCACCGGCUAACUUCGUG
rnacentral:rRNA from 1 species